rnacentral:lncRNA from 1 species
UGGGACGCGACUGACAGCUUUUCAGGUUUGGUUUAAUUUCAAAUCCUUCUUUCUUUGUCUCUAACGGCUAUAUUUGCUUUUUUGGGCUAUAAAAGGGACCUCUUAAGUGCUUCUCAACAACUCUUCACCAACCCAAAGCUAGAUCAUUCAAGAGAGAAGUAAGAAAGAAAAGUUCAAGGGAGUGAGUGCAUUCAAGUGAAGCAAUCAAGUGUUUUCAAGCUUCCCAAGUGAUUUCAAGCUCAAUCACUCUUGUGCGCUUGGGAUU